AAAUAGGUCUUCGAGCCCCUGUUCCUGUGGCGCACGCUAUGGAACCCGGGCCGCGCCGGGAGCCCGGCACAGGGCGCAGCGGGAAACCGCCGCACCUUCCGCAUUUGAAAAGGAGACGUG
rnacentral:ncRNA from 1 species